rnacentral:tRNA from 1 species
AGGGGUAUCGCCAAGCGGUAAGGCAUCAGACUUUGACUCUGAUAUGCGUAGGUUCGAAUCCUGCUACCCCUGCCA